rnacentral:lncRNA from 1 species
UACACAUAUAUGCGUGUAUAUGUACAUGUAGAGGUAGGUACGUACAUAUAUGUUUAUAUAUAUGCAUAUGUUCUAUUUUAUUAACAUAUUAUACGACUAAACGCACGCACCCUAUUAAGUAAGAUUGUUCUGUUUAUCAAGUUAGCCUUGAUAUUAACUCUCACGCGACUCUGCAUCUUUCUUUCUUUCUCUCCCAUUCCCUUUUUCGUCCUUUUUCCCUCACUUAACUUGUCUCUUCCUCUCUCUCUCAUUCUUCAUUCUCUCUCUCCCCCUCACCAUUCUUCAUGGUCUCCUCGCACCAUUCCCCUUCUUCUCUCUCUUCCUCUUGCUCCUCCUCCCCCAUUCCCGUCGUCCAUCUGCGACGAUACUUCCGUCGUAACUGCUAUCCUGUCUUUUCUCGCCCGCCUUCUAAGGCCACUGGUCGACAUUCUUUCUCUCUCGUCGUCCACUAUAAUCCAGCGUUUGCAUUACUUUUUUCGUCUGGCGUAAACAGCCCUUCUUAUCUUGUUCUCCUUGUCCUGUCUCUCACUGUUAUAUAUUUAUUUUUCAACUGUUUUUUUUUUUUUUACUGUUUAUAUGUUUGUACUGUCGUUACCGUCUUGCUUUUUUUACCAUUUUUUACCCCUCUGCGAAAAGAGCUCAGAAUUUUAAUUGAUUUGCUUUUCGCAGGAAGGAAGUUUCUUCGAAGUAUACGUCUCGCUUUUAUCCUUUGAAACGUAGAGUAGAUGAAACCUUAGCGACUGAAGAAGGGGAUUUUUCGUUGUGCUUAUUGUCCUGUAUCUCUUUUUUUCUUUUUUGCUUGUCCUGUUCCUUGGUUUGUGUCUAUGUUUUUCGUCUCUCUAUGUGAUCGACGUCUUUUUGGUGUCCUGUACACAUAUAUGCGUGUAUAUGUACAUGUAGAGGUAGGUACGUACAUAUAUGUUUAUAUAUAUGCAUAUGUUCUAUUUUAUUAACAUAUAUAUAUAUAUAUAUAUAUAUAUAUAUAUAUAUAUAUAUACACUCAUACACAUGCAUAUAUAUAUACACACACACACACACACACAUAUAUAUACACAUUGUUAUCAUGUACAUUGUUUUGUCUUGGUAUAUGGGAUGGGCUAGAGCAAAUAUUCUGCUCAAUACCUCAGAUUUGCUUGUCAGUUGCUUGACCUUAACCAGUUGAGCAUGUCCCUUAGAGGCUGAUCACGAGCAGAAGUAGUAGGGAAGCAUCAUAGCCAUGUGUUGAGAGGGAUUUUUGGGGGUUUCAAUAAUACAUGUCUGGAAACAGAUAUUUUAUUCAUCAUCCUUAAACAAACCUUAUUCAGGGACCUUUUGAGUAGGUAGGGCUACCCGACCUGAAAAAUCAUGCGCUGUCCCACCUGCAAAAUAAUGCGCUGUUUAUCUUGAUAUGAGAUCCCCAUGUCACUCACAUAUGGUAGUCAUGAUGGGUAUACUGGGCUUUGUAUAUUUUACCACAUUGUCACUUUGAUAGCAUGCACUUCUCUCUCACUCAAUAAUAAUAAUUAUUAUUAUUACUAUUAUUAUUAUUAUUUCAAUUUUUUUCUUGCCACAAGGACAGCUUGGGGGAGGUGUGGAAUGAGUCGUUUACAUUGACCCCAGGGUUCAGCUGGUACUUAUUUCAUCGAUCCUGAAAGAAUGAAAGGCAAAGUCGACCUCGGCAGAAUUUGAACUCAGAAUGUAGCGGCAGACGAAACACUGCUAAGCAUUUCACCUGGAGUGCUAAUGAUUUUGCCAGCUUGCUGCCUAAAGGCAUAGUGCGUUCAUCCCUGAGUGGGCUCAUACCACCAAACCCUCAGCAAACAGCUGAACACGCCACCCGAUUGUGUCACAGAAGCCUCAUAAUGAUGAUGAUGAUGAUGAUGAUGAUGAUGAUGAUGAUGAUGAUGAUGACGAUAGGCUUUAUUGGUAUAAGGGAUGGGCUACAACAAAUAUUCUGCUCAAUACCACAGAUUUAUUUGUCAGUUGCUUAACCAAUUGAGCUUGUCCCUUGGUGACUGACAAUAUGUGCAUCUCUUAUCAUGGGCAAAAGUAGUAGGAGAGCAGCAUAGAGAGGAAUUCUAUGGGGUUUGAUUAAUUCACCUCUGGAAACAUGAGUGUUUCAUUCAUCAUCCUUACACUGACUGUAUUAAGUGACCUUUUGAGUGGGAUGGGCUACUCAACCUGAAAAAAAUUCUGUAUCCCAUUCUUUAAAAAACAGAAAAUAUUAAAAAAAAUUAACUCAAAACUACUUAAAUUGAGAUGGGCUUCUACAUUGACGAUAAAAUAUGGAUUUUAGUGUAGACGUUAGUAUGUAGAUAUAGGUUGAUUUGGUUGUUAUUUUUAGCUGGAUGAGUAAUCAUAUACAGACACCUCCAAUAGAUCCAGUCUUGUUUGAGUACUGUGUUGUCAUUUAAAUGUUAAUUGAUUUUUUACAGUUGAGUUAAUUUAAAUACAUGACAUGCUUUAUAUAACCUAUGAGUAAUGUAUUUAAUCCAAAGAUUGCCAAAUAUAGUUAAUAAGACGGGCGAACAAUAUUUUAUUCAAUGGUCCUUCUGUGGAAAAAUGUUUUUCAAUUCAGUUCAGUAUGGGAUUCCUCCUCACUUCAGUGAAACAACAGAUUAGGCAGUCAUCAUCAUAUUUGACGGUUUGUAGGCCACAUUUUUGACAUUUUAUCUCCACAUCCCAAAAAGGGAUGCAAAAUAUCGGCUUACAUCUGACAUAACUUGGUUUGCUAAUUUAUGUAUGCAUGUAUUUAUAUAUGUAUGGAAAUAUAUAUACACACACACACACACACAUAUAUAUAAUGUAGGACUGAGAUACAGGGAUCCUGGACAGAAGGACAGACAAAAUUUCGCGCGUAUUAGUAUUAUAUUUACUGUAGCCCAUCAUUUAUAUCAAAAAACAAAAAAACUAUGUACAUGAUAACAAUUCCAAUCAGUUAGUAUUAUUAUUACCAUUAUAAUUAUUAUUCUAUGUUUGACUUUUGCUUUAUGUUUGUUACAAGUUGGCUCCAAGUCUCACCCAGAGACCUCAAGAGACAACAGGUUGGAAAUUCACGUUGUUGUUAUGCCUAGUGUGCCAUAUAUUUGGGGGGGGGGUUGGUGUUGUACUAGUGAAUGUCUAAUAAAUAAAUUUUAAAAAAAGUUUGUUUUAAACCUUGAGAUUACAUAGAGAGUAUUUUGCGUAGGAUAUGAACAGUUCCCAUGAGCACUAUCUUUUGAAUUUCUGACAUUUUGGGGUUUCCUGGUAUCUGAGUUAGGUAGCAAUCAGCCCCUUUCGCUAUUAUUCCCAGGGCACCUAUGACAACAGGUAUUGUUUUAGUCUUCAGGUUCCACAUUUUGCUGAUUUCUAUUUCAAGAUCUUUAUAUUUGCUCAGUUUUUGGUAGGUCUUGACAGAUACGUUUAUAUCGAUUGGGACAGUCAUAUCAAUGAGGAGGCAUGUUCUUUGUCUGAAGUCUUUCAAUAUGAUGUUUGGCCUGUUUGCAUCUAUCUUUCUGUCAGUUUGAAUGGUGAAGUUCCAGAGGAGUGAGAUGUGGUCAUUUUCAAGCACUGGAGGUGGAUUGUGUUCCCACCAGUUUUUUUGCAUGGGGCAAAUCCAGGUUUUUGCAAAUUACCCAGUGAAUAUAUUGUGCAGCUCUAUCAUGCCUGUUGAGGUACUCUGUAGGUGCUAGAAGACUGCACUUGGAGACAACAUGAUCAAUGGUUUCAUUUUGUUGUUGACAUACACGACAUGUUGGGCUACUGCCGUUCUUUAAUAUGUUGGCCUGGUUGUUUCUUGUUGGUAGGCAUUGAUCUUGAGCUGCUAUCAUAAACCCUUCUGUUUCAGAUUUGAAGCCAGAGGCCAUUAGCCAUUGAUGGGUCAGGGCUUUGUCAAUAUCUGCAUUAUUCGCUCUCUUUGGGUAUUUGCCAUAGAGAGGUUUUUCUUGCCAUUUAUUAUUCAGAAUAUCUAAGGCCGCAGUUUUGGCACAGGUUUUCAUGCGCUUAGCUUUUUCUGUGCUUGUUUCUUGUAUGACUAUCUCUAAUUCCGAAAUUUGUUGUAUUCGGAAUUCACUUAGAUAUUCCUUUGCCUGUUUGGUUACUGAGUAUGAUGCUUUAUUGUUUUCAUGUUUUGAGACAAGUUUUAACAUCCAGUCCUCAGACUUUUUCAGGUAGGUGUCUAGGCCAAUUGUAGCAAUCUUCAUUGUUAUUGCCAGUUGUAAAAGACCACGGCCUCCCUCUUUUCUUGGCAGAUAAAGUUGUUCUGUAUCUGCCUUAGGAUGGUGCAUUCUAUGCAUUAUUAUUAUUAUUAUUAUUAUUAUUAUUAUUAUUAUUAUUAUUAUUAUUAUUAUUAUUAUUAUCAUUAUUAUUAUUAUUAUUAUUACUUCUAUUGUUUUUGUUGUUGUAUUAAAAUUCACAGCUUAUUUUGCUGGGUAUGACGGAAAGUGUCAGCUGUCGACAGCCAGCUGACUAAAGUGAUACUUGUUUACUGGUCAUGCUUCAAGAACACUAGGAAGAAUUCUUUCAGUUCCAAGCAAAGCUGGUUUUUGUAGGUGUUCUACCUACAAACUUGCACCGAUCUUUUUCAACCAUGUUUGUAGCUGAUUGCUGAUACUUCCAAGUACACCAAUUAUUAUUGGUAUCACAUCUACUCUCUUCAUUGACCACAAUCUUUGUAUUUCUCAACUUAAAUCGUCAUAGUUGUUCAUUUCUUUUCUUCUUUCACAUUGAUCCUGUUUUCACCGGGGCAUGCUAUGUCGAUUAUCAUACAUGUUCUUUAUUUUUUAUUCCCCACAACGUCCAGUUUCCGAUGUCUGGUCAGGUGAUCGCACUGGAUCAUUGCAUCCCACGGAUUUUGCAAUUCUCAUUUUCAGUGACUCCUUCUGGGGUUUGCUCAUACUAUGUCUUUGCUCUUUGUAAGCAGUGCCUUCUACUGAGUUCCCAAUGGCUCAUUCUUGUCACAUUGUCAUGGCAUCUUUUGUAUUCGUGUUGUGCCAGUGUCAGGCAUUCGCUAACAAUGUACCAUUCUGUUUCACCCCUCUUGCCACACAUUCUGCAUUUGUCGCUGGCCUCUACCUGGGAUGUAGCCAGUCCACUUAUGCAUACCUUUCCUUCUUGGGACACAAAACUCUACUUGUGAAGACCUGUUGAGGCAAGUGGAAAUCAGAAUCAAAAUCAAAAUCGAUCAACAUCAAUAGAAAUUGCAGCUGAUACCAGUGCCGGUGGCACAUAAGCAAACCAUCCAAUUGUGGCCGUUGACAGCGCCGCCCCGAUGGGCCUCCAUGCCGGUGGCACGUCAAAAAACACCAUCUAAUUGUGUCCGUUGCCAGCCUCACCUGGCCCCUGUGCCGGUGGCACGUAAAAAGCACCCACUACACUCACGGUGUGGUUCGCAUUAGGAAGGGCAUCCAGCUGUAGAAACAUUGCCAGAUCAGACUGGGCCUGGUGUAGCCUUCUGGCUUCCCAGACCCCAGUUGAACUGUCCAACCCAUGCUAGCAUGGAAAGCAGACGCUAAAUGAUGAUGAUGAUGAUGAUGAUGUAGUUUUGUCUGUUCUGCACUUCAUAUAAUUGGUCCUUAACACUUGCUCUUGAGGAGUGCUUCUGUCUCUAUCUUCAGGUCACUCCUCUUCAUCUAUAGGUCCUCUGCAUCUGUCUUGGCAUUCACACCUCUUACAAACUGACCGUACAUUUUCUUUUCCUUCUAUGCUUCUUCUUUUCUUUUGUUCAUUUCUUGUUUAAAUUUUUCUUUAGUUACACAAUUUUCACUUUUGAUGACGCCAGCCUUCUUUGCGUAUUCUAACACUGGCUCCAUGUCAUUGGUUAUAUACCACUCUAGACUGUUUCCCUCUGCUUCGAUAAAGUCCUGGCGACUCGUCAAGCCUCUCUAUUAUUAUUAUUAUUAUUAUUACAACACUUUAUGCAUGUCUUUCUAUUGUCUUCUUCAUCCUUCGCUCUUGUGGCAAAUAAAUGAAAUCAUUAUUAGUAUCAUUGUGUUGUCUCAAAAGGCGGUGAGCUGGUAGAAUCGUUAGCCCCACUGGACCAUAUAUAUCUAUUUAUAUAUAUAUAUAGUGGCUGUGUGGUAAGAAGCUUGCUUACCAACCACAUGGUUUCAGGUUCCAUAUCACUGUGUGGCACAUUGGGCGAGUGUCUUUUGUUAUAACCUCGAGCUGACCAAACCCUUGUGAGUGGAUUUGGUAGACGGAAGCUGAAAGAAGCCCAUCGCAUGUAUAUGUGUGUGUGUGUGUGUGUGUGCAUGCGCGCGCGUGUAUGUGUGUGUGUGCGCGUGUAUGUGUCUGUGCGUUUGUCCCCCCCAACAUUACUUGACAACCGAUACUGGUGUGUUUAGUCCCCGUAACUGAGCGGUUCAGCAAAAGUACUAGAUUUACAAAGAAUAAGUCAUGGGGUUGAUUUGCUCAACUAAAGGCCAUGCUCCAGCAUGGCCACAGUCACAUGACUGAUACAAAUAAAAGAAUAUAUAUAUACAUACAUACAUAUUUUAUAUAUAUAUAUAUAUAUAUAUAUAUAUAUAUAUAUAUAUGUAUGUAUGUAUGUAUAUGUGUAUAUAUAUAAGGUUGAGUCAAAAAGUAAUGCCAUAUUGUUUAGGACAGUUAUAAUCACCAACACAGGAACAUGUAUCAUACAUCAAAAUGAAGCUGGGCCUCUGUGGAUCACAUCCCUACUUCUCAACAUAGUCACCAUUUCUCUCAAUAGCAACGUUCCACCUUCAAAUGAGAGCAUGUAUCCCUGCCCCGUAAAAUUCUGUUGACUGUUCUUUGAGCCAGUUCUUCACUACAGUUUUCACUUCCUCAUCACUGGAAUAAUGUUUACCUCUAAAACCCUUUCAUUAUGCCAGUGACCUGUGAGUGAAUGUGUGUCCUCCUCUCACUCUCUCUCUCUCUCUCUCUCUCUCUCUCUUCCUCUCUCUCUCUCUCUUCUCUCUCUCUCUCUCUCUCUCUCUCUCUCUCUCUCUCUCUCUCUCUCUCUUUGAUGCCAGACUAUGAACCCUCUUCUCUUCUUUAUUGUAAAAUAUAUCUGUUUGCUACAGUUUCUAACCCUUUUGUUACCAACUGGGCUGAAACCAGCUCUGGCUCUGAGUACAAAUGUUUUUUUUUCAUAGGUUUUGAAUUAAAAUCUUCCACCAAACCUUAGUCACAAUUUAUGUUCCUAACACUAGCUUAAUGAUAACUAAGUUAUUUUACAAAUUUUUUUCGUUAUAAUUCAAGUAAUUGAAAGAAACACAGAGCAUCUCAAAGUAAAUACAGUAAUGAAAGGGUUAAGAGAUGAGGAAUUAUGUACAUUAUUUACAUUGUUUACAUUAUUUACAUUCAACAACAAACAAGAUGAGGACAAAUAUCUGUCAAAUGUAAAUAAUGUAAAUAAUGUAAAUAUCUGUUUGCUUUUGUUGAUUUUGUUGUUAUACUUGUUUAAGCAAGUCACUUAACUUUUUUAUUUAUCUAUGUUUUUACCAGAGAUUUUUUUUUUAAAUGGCAUCUGCAAUUCGGAAAUUAAUUUGUUGUUGCCAAACUGAUGAAGAAAUGAUUCCAUAUCAUGACAAAGACAUCCCAAAGGUGGUAGUUUAUUCCUCGGAGGUGAAAAAGAAAGAAAAGUCGAAAAAAUGCAAAGAGAAAGAUAAAAAGAAAGAUAAAAAGAAACAUAAAAAGAAACAUAAAAAGAAAAAGAAGAAAAAAGAUGAUGAUGAUGACGAUGAUGAUGAUGAUGAAAGUAGCAGUGAUGAAAGCAGUAGUGAUGAAAGCAGUAGUGAAGACAGUGAGGAAGAGAAGGAGGAGGAGGAGGAAGAGGAAGAAGAAGAGAAAGGGGAGGAGGAAGUGGAGGAGGAAGUGGAGGAGGAAGUGGAAGAGGAAGAGAAAGAGGAGGAGGAGGAAGUGGAGGAGGAAGAGAAUGAGGAGGAGGCGGAGGAGGAGGAAGAGAAAGAAGUAGAAGAGGAGGAGGAGGAGGAGGAGGAGGAGGAGGAAGAGAAAGAGGAGGAGGAGGAGGAGGAGGAGGAGGAGGAAGAAGAAGAAGAAGAAGAAGAAGAAGAAGAAGAAGAAGAAGAAGAAGAAGAAGAAGAAGAAGAGGAGGAGGAUGAUGAUUAAAGUGCUGAUACUAAUUUGGCUAAAAUUACUAAAGCCGGAAAUAUAAAAUCACUAUAUAUCUGGUUUGCAUUUGGUUUGGUUUGUGAUAUCGACAAUGUCACAAAUGGCGAUUAGAGGAAUUUGAGAAAUCUGACUGAUUAACAGAACGAUUAAUGAAACAAUCAGUUAGUUAAUUGGUUACGUAGUUGACCAAUUAACAAAUAAAUAACAAAGGACUGAAAUGGAACCAUUGCAUGUUUUUAUUAUUGGCUUAAUGACCCACCCAAGAUUAACAAAAUCCAAUAACUAACCACCUUAUAAGUACUCUUUUCUAAAUGAAAUUAUUAUAAUAAAAAAUUUAGAAUUAUAAUUCUUUUAUUUAUUCUUACUGGUUUCAUUCAAAAGACAGGGGCCAUCCAAACCAAAAUCUUGAAAAAAUUCAGAGAACUAAAUCAACAACAAAAUGUAAAUUGGCCUAGGUUUUUUUUUUUAUUGAUCGCUAUUUAUCGAAUGACUACGCUCACCUUAGUGAGUCACACUUCUAUAGAGACGUAAAUGCCACAGUGAAUCUCUGCUUUUGUUUGCAAGUUCAUACACACAUGUAUGUAUGUAUGUAUGUAUGUAUAUGUAUAUAUAAAGUGUGCGGGUUGAUAUCUUUAUUAUCUAUAUAUUAAAUUUUUUUAAAAUUUCUUUUGAAUCCCUUAAUAGCAAAUUAAAUGUUAACACAAAAAAUGUACAGACAUACAAUAAUAAAAAAAAAACAAUGAUUUAUUUUAUUUUCCAUGAAGGUGAUGGAUGAGAGGAGAAAUGCAACGACAUUAUAAAGCAAAACACAUAUAUACUUAUAUACGACGGGCUUCUUUCAGUUACCGUCUACCAAAUCCAAUCACAAGACUUUGGGUGGCCCGAGGCUAUAGUAGAAGACACUUGCCCAAGGUACCACACAGUGGGACUGAACCCGGUACCAUGUGAUUGGUAAGGAAGCUACUUACCACACAGCCGCUCCUGUGCCUAUAUACAAUGAAAUGAUAAAAUAAAUAUAUAGAAGAUAUACAUGGUAUAAAAUAUAACUGUGGUGUGUGCGAGCGAUUUGAAAUAAAGGCACCUACCUACUCUUUGCUCUGAUGGAGACCCUUCUGCGGUAACGGAUCCUUCGACACAGCCCGACCCGAACGCUAGAGAUAGCAGCUGCUUCACCCAACCUUAACAACGUGAUCACCCGUCUUAACCACUUGACGACCGGACUCGAAAAGGCAGAAUGACCCGCUCGCUGCGCACGCGUCACGACUGCCCCUUCCGGUCAGCCCCAAGUUCCGGUCAGCUCCCCAGCUGCUGACGUCAUCCCACACGCCACCCUGAUCUUAAAGAUCACAAUCUCUCUACUCCAUGUCGUAGUCCACCAUCCAACCGGGAGGGCGCCUUGCGCGUCGAGAUCUUCUCAAGCUGGGCACCUCGUUCUCCCCCUCUCCACAAUCGUCGUCCGUCGAAGCAACAAUCCUGCGGAGGUCCAAGACGUGUCGCGGCAUUCCAUCCACGGAGACGUUGUUUCUGGAAUUGACCGCCGUCACCGUUCUUCUGCUCCAUUGAGACGUGCAGCGCGCCUUUGGUGGCUUAACCCUGACUUCCUCCCCUAUUUUCACGCAAACGGGUCCCUUCUCUUCCUCGUGGCCCUCCGACGCUUUGCUCGGGUGCCUCCAUUCAUAUUUAAAUACAGCUGUCUGCGGCACAGAUUCCUCAGCUUGUCCUGAUCGGGGAGACAAGUUGUACCAAAAAACUGCUUCAAGCGGCGAAAUGUGCCCUCUUUCCGCUAUGGCCUUGACUGUCCGAUGGUGCCUCUCUACGAUUCCGUUACCGCUCGGCCUAUACGCUGCUCUGAACAGGCGACGCACCUUCCACCGAUCAAGCAUAACUCUCAAUGCUUCCGAACAAAACGCCGCCCCGUUGUCCAUCAGCAGUUCUUCCACGGGACCUCUCUCUAAAAAUAUCUCGUUCAAGAUCUGCACGAUCUCGUCAGCAAUGCCCGUUCUCAACUCCCUCCAAAUCGCCAGCCGGGCUGGCCCGCAGUCGACCAUGGAGAGGUACAUUCCCUGACGGUAGUGCGUCACUUCCACAGCUAGCCUUUUUCCAGUUGUGCUCCACUGAAAGGCUUCCCUGUUCAUGCCCACACAGAGCAGGGUCGAUGGACUGACACCUGUCGCAGCUUCUCCUAGUGACGUCAGCAUCAAUUUUCUUCGCCAGAUACAGGGUCCUGUCCACACCCAGGUGAUGCAUAGCAUGCAGUCUCUUCAGUUCAGAGUCAUCCAACCGACACGCCGCAGCUAUCCCUUUCCGGGCUUCCUCCGGUUCUUCCAACCACGCUCUUUUCACCCUGGUCAGUGCGUCCGCCCUGUUUUUCUCCGAAGGCACGAAAACCACGUUCAGCUUCAGUCCCAACUCGGCGAUCAAUUCACCUAGAACUCCUAGACGGCGCUUCACUAACAUCUCCGUGGCACCUUUCGUCCGCACUCUCCUUUCACCGGUGAUCACCGAUCCUACCCAGCCAAGCACAGUGGCCGAAUCCGUCCGGAUUUCAAUCGUGCGCAGCCCCCAUUUCAGGGCCAAGUUCACCCCUUUCAGCAUCGCGUCUAAUUCGGCGACAUUGAUGUGGUUGAAGUCAUCUGCUUUCCGUCCUUCACCGCAGCGCCUUCGAUUGCCAACACAACCCCUAUCGCUAUACUGCUAGCAUCACACCAGACGGUCUCGCAUUCCGUCUUGGGCACGUACCAGUUUCCCCUGACCGGGUCUUCCGCUCUCGUCCUCUCUAGGAUUUCCUGCAUCAUCGCCACCGUCCCUUCUCCCACCUUGUCGCCCCAACUCUCCCCCUCCGCUCGUCUCUUGGUGUAACUGCACGCCGUGCGCAGCCAUCCAGCGAUCGGGUAGUGACCGACCAACUUCCCACAUACUGAGAACAACUCUCUCCUGCUGACGCUGGAAUACAGCUCUGGGAUUUCAUUCCCUCUCCGGAGCACCAAUUCACCCGAUCUAUCUCUUCGCAGCUUCAGCCCCAGCGCGGCUCCCCCUUCCAUCGACUCCGGUGGCUUAGCAAUCAGUCCGAACUUCUCCAGAUGUAUAACUACCUCGUCGGCUGGCACUACAAUUUCGUCCACCAAAAUGUCAUCAAUGUAGGAGCUGGUGGCCUUUCUAAUCUUGCCGUCUUUCCCUAGGACAGACUUAAGCACUGCCGCCAUGAUCUUCGGAGCGGAAUUCAGCCCGAAACCCAGCCUGGUUAAACAGUAUGUCCGGCCUUUGUACCGCACCAGCUGAUAUCGUCACAGUUUGCCGCUCACAUGGAGCUGAAAGUAUGCCGAUUUCAAGUCGACAAUCGUCGCUGCCUUGGUCGACUGUCUCCACGCACGUAACGUCUCGCGACAAACGUCUGUCGCCUCACCCGUGUGACACGAUAUAUGCUGGUUUAGCUCCCUGAAGUCCAGCACCGGUCUGACUUUUCCCUUCGUAGGCUGCACCACUGUCAUCAGGGGUAGCACUCCGACCGCUACCUCCUCCUCCCAAGGGACAAGGGACUCGAUCACCUCUCCACCACGUCCUCAAACUCAACUCUGGCGUGGCCUUUCAGGGAUGCUAGUAACAGCUCACUCUGUUUUUCAGCAUCGGGGGCUCGUCCUUCCGUCUCCACUCUAUCGUCCACCGCUGACCAUCGAACGCCGCCUGAAAGUCUUUGUCCUCGAUGGUGUAAGCGGCGCAGUCCCUCGCGGAGCUCUGCUCUCUCUGGCGAUUCUGACUCGCAGUGCACGACGCCCCCACGCUCCCGAACUUGACCUCAUCUCCCACAAUACUGACGCCACCGAGGCAGUUGAUGGCCUCCAUCCCCAUCACCACAUCAACCCCAUCUAUCACACGUUCAGCCACAAUUACCUGCAGCCUUAGCGUCGCGCCGCGCACAACUAUCUCUACCUUGCUGCUGCCUCUGCAACGGAUUUCGCUGACGUCGACCGCCCGGACGCUACUUGCCCCGUUCCAUUUCUUCGUCACCCUUGAAGGCACAAGGGUGGUCGUGCAGCCCGUAUCCACGAGGGCCCUGAACGUCUUCCCCUCGGCCUCCUCGUCAAUUAAUGGCAGCGUCUCCAAUAGCGUCUACUCGUUUGCGGGGCAAGUCCGAGAGGCAGCAACUUCCCCGCGGUCGUUUCCCUGGUCCCAAUCACGGGCGAUGUGCCCGGUCUGCCUGCAUCGAUAGCAAACGGGCCCCGGUUGUGUACAGUCCCGCGCCAUGUGCGACCCCUGACAUCUAAAACACCGACCUGAGAACGGCCGCUGUGGUUGCAUGGUAGGCUUCUUUACGUCUUUCUCCGGUCGUCGUCCGUCUUUACGCACCUCCGUCACCGCCAUCGCUAUUGCCUUCCGCCCAGAGUGUCGCGUCAACACGCGGGCUUGAGUUACAAGUUCGCUCAGCGCCAUAUUUUUAAUCCCGGGCAAUCGUUGUAGGUGAAUCCCUACAUCGUCGGGGAACCCAUUCACAAACGCCAGUCGCGCUGCUCUCUCCAGCCCUUCUCCUGUAAACCCGGCCAGCGUCGCUAACCUCCGAACUUCUGCCGCGUACUCGUCCACCUGUCCUCCCGUCCAUCUGAUCGUACCCAGCUUAGCUAAAGCUGUGUAUUCACACUCUGUGUAGGCAUCCCGCAGGCGUUGCUCUAUCUUUUCCUCGCUCAGGCGUUCCUCCUCGUCCAUCUCAAGGUAUAGCGUCAACGCGCUCCCUUCUAAAUACAGCGCCAUAAGUCUUGCCACAUCGAAUAUACCUUGCAGUCUUGCCACCAGCCUGAUUUUACGAAUCCAGGCCACUACAUCGCCUUCACCAUUAAAGGGUCUGAUGAUGUCGCUGGCGAUCCUGAUUUUCGCUGCCAUCGUGGCGACGACUUAUAUGGAGCGCCGAAAUAGCUUGUGGUGUGUGCGAGAGAUUCGAAAUAAAGGCACCUACCUUCUCUUCGCUCUGAUGGAGACCCUUCAACGGUAAUGGAUCCUUCGACACAGCCCAACUCGAACGCUAGAGAUAGCAGCUGCUUCACCCAACCUUAACAACGUGAUCACCCGUCUUAACUCCUCGACGACCGGACUCGAAAAGGCAGAAUGACCCGCUCGCUGCACACGCGUCACGGCUGCCUCUUGCGGUCAGCCCCAAGUUCCGGUCAGCUCCCUAGCUGCUGACGUCAUCCCAUAAUAACAAAGAAGAUAUACUUAGUACACAUCAGUGAUGAUGACAAUGUUAUCCUGAUACUCAAGAACCUUGAGGGAUAAUUGCAGAACUACAUGAACCAAGAUCUCCCGGACCAAUGUGGGGAAAGUUUCUUCUUCAGUUUUUGACCUCCGAAUCACAGCUUCAAACUUAGGGUGAUACCAUCCAUUCUCAGCAUUUUUGAAGCUUACAAACAUUCUAAACUUUCAGACACUAUAAAGACACUGCAAUAAAUAAUAAUAAUAAUAAUAAUAAUAAUAAUAAUAAUAAUAAUAAUAAUAAUAAUAAUGAUAAUAAUAAUAAUAAUAAUAAUAAUAAUAAUAAUGAUAAUAAUAAUAAUAAUAAUAAUAAUAAUAAUAAUAAUGAUAAUAAUAAUAAUAAUAAUAAUAAUAAUAAUAAUAAUAAUAAUGAUAAUAAUAAUAAUAAAUGCCCUGAUGCAGUACCAGGCAGUGGCUCUCAUGGCUUCUGAUCUUAACUGAUUGGAAGUGUUAUCAUGUACAUUGUUUUGUCUUGGUAUAAAAGAUGGGCUACAGCAAAUAUUCUGCUCAAUACCACAGAUUUGUUUGUCAGUUGUUUGACCUUAACCAGUUGAGCAUGUCCCUUAGUGGCUGACGAUAUGUGCAUCUCUGAUCACGAGCAGAAGUAGUGGGGGAGCAUCAUAGCCAUGUGUUGAGAGGGAUUCUUUGGGGUUUGAAACAUGGAAACCUCUGGAAACAUGGGUGGUUUUUUCAACAUCCUUAAACAACCCUUAUUCUGGGACCUUUUGAGCGGGAUGGGCUACUCAACCUGAAGAAAAUUCUAACUGGGCCCCACCUGCAAGGUCAUGUGCUGUUUAUCUUGAUAUGAAAUCACUAUGUCGCGCACAUUUGGUUGUGAUGCAUGUGCCUGGUGUACCCUUAUCAGACGGGUAGUCAUGAUGGGUAUAUUGGGCUUCGUAUAUUUUACCCCAGUGUCACUUUGAUGGCAUGAACUGCUCUCUCACUCAAUAAUAAUAAUAAUAAUUAUAAUAAUAAUAAUAGUAAAUUAGCAAAAUGUAGAACCUGAAGACUAAAACAAUACCUGUUGUCAUAGGUGCCCUGGGAAUGAUAGCAAAAGGGCCUGAUUGCUACCUAGCUCAGAUACCAGGGAACCCGAAAAUGGCAGAAAUUUAAAAUAUAGUGCUCAUGGGAACUGCCCAUAUCCUACAUAAAAUACUGUCUAUGUAAUCUCAAAUUUUAAAACAAACACAUAAUUUUCUUAUGGUUUCUUAAACAUUCUCUAGAACAACACUAUGGUACCUUAGGCAUAACGCCAAUAUGAACUUCCAACUUGUUGUCUUGGGGAAAUUGGCACAUGGCAUAGUGGUUAAGUGCACGGGCUACUAACACCAAGAUUUCGAGUUUGAUUCUUAGCAGUGACAUGAAUACUAACAACAACAACAACAACAGCAACAACAACAACAACAACAAUAAUAAUUAUAAUAAUAAUAACAACAACAUGACAGAGUCGGCCAGUAUUUACAUUGGACAAUAUGUCGGCAUUAUAAAAUCAAAACCGCUGACAAAUGGUAUAAACAUCAUCCUGAAGCUGUGACUGAGGGAGAAAAUGUGUCGAUUCUAUGGGACUUCCCCGUGCAGACCGACAGGACUAUAAAAGCCAAUAAACCGGAUAUCAUUAUAAAAGAUCAGACAAAAAGGAUGUGUUUAUUAAUUGACAUGAGUAUUCCCUGUGAUCACAAUAUAGCGGCGAAAGAAUUUGACAAGAUUAGUAAAUAUAAAAACUUGGUAAUAGAAAUUGAAAAAAUGUGACAUCUCAAGGCGACAACAGUACCAGUGAUUGUAGGAUCUCUAGGAAUGAUAAAAAAAAAGGUACUGAAACCUAUUUGAAAAUGAUUGCAGGCUUACCAUCCCUACAGGAAGUGCAAAAAAUCGUAUUAAUUGGAACGGCUCAUGUACUGAGAAGAGCAUUGCCGCUGUGAAAAUAACAUCCAUCCGUGAAUUUAUUUAUUUAUUAAUUUUUAAAUACAUAUUCUAUCUGUGAAUUUGCGCGUGUAAUCUGGGAAUGCAUACAAUGCCCUUCUUUGCCCUAGGUGUAUGGAAAACACUCGGCGAGAAACAGAAGAAAAUUUGAAGAAAGAAGGAAAAAACAUAAUAAUAAUAAUAGCAUCGAAAAAAUACCUUAGGAAUGAGGACCCAGGUUCGAAAUUUACCCCAAGACACCUGAAGAAGACUGGAGGGUAUAUCAGCCGAAACGUGUUAUCAACAAACAAGCUGAUACAAAUAUCAGUCAAAUGUAAAUAAUGUAAACAAUGUAAAUAAUCGAAAUAAUGUAAAUAAUUUAAUUAACAAAACAGUUAAACAAUAAGAAAUUCCCUAAAGUGGGAAGUCCCACAUGGGACAAAACGAAGAACCCCACACAUUCUGGAAGUAGAUACAUACAUAGGUCGAAAGAAACGUAAUACCUAUUUCUAUUUCUUUACUACCUACAAGGGACUAAACACAGAGAGGACAAACAAGGACAGACAAACGGAUUAAGUCGAUUAUAUCGACCACAGUGCGUAACUGGUACUUAAUUAAUCGACCCGAAAGGAAGAAAGACAAAUUCGACCUCGUCGGAAUUUGAGCUCAGGACGUAGCGGCAGACGAAAUACCUAUUUCUUUACUACCCACAAGGGGCUAAACACAGAGAGGACAAACGGAUUAAGUCGAUUAUAUCGAACCCCAGUGCGUAACUGGUACUUAUUUAAUCGACCCCGAAAGGGUGAAAGGCAAAGUCGACCUCGGCGGAAUUUGAACUCAGAACGUAGAGGCAGACGAAAUACCGCUAAGCAUUUCGCCCGCCAAGCAUUUCACCUGGCGUUCUAAUGCUUUCAUAUGCAGUAAUUUAAAAAACUUAAAAACUGUGUAAAAAAACAUUUAUUUUCCUCAUGGACGUUAGACAUAUUUAUUUACAUGUAGAAAAUGGCUUGCAUGUCAUAACUAUCUUUUCUCUCUUUUGCUUGUUUCAGUCAUUUGACUGCGGCCAUGCUGGAGCACUGCCUUUAAUCGAGCAACUCGACCCCGGGACUUAUUCUUUUGUAAGCCCAGUACUUAUUCUAUCGGUCUCUUUUGUCGAACCACUAAGUUAUGGGGACAUAAACACACCAGCAUCGGUUGUCAAGCAAUGCUAGGGGGACAAACACAGACACACAAACACACACACGCAUAUAUAUAUAUAUAUAUAUAUAUAUAUAUAUAUAUAUAUAUAUAUAUUAGAAAAAUUGAGGUAAUCAGAUCAGAUGGUUCAUAUUUGUAGAUAUUUAUUUAUAUAUUAUAUUUUUUACAUAUAUAUCAUAUCAUAUCAUUCGGAUUUCGGAUUAGCGCUUGCUCCCAUUCUAGUGGGCUUUUCAAAUCAAAUCAGUUGUGGGGAGUUUGAACAUUUUAUAGUUUCGUAGUAGUGGGUGAGGAGGAAGUGAGACAGAGAAAAAAUGUGUGUAUGUGUAUGUGUGUGUGUGUGUGUGUGCGCGUUUAUAUCUGAGAGUGAAGAAGUGUUAUUUCCGUUGGUCUGCUGGACCGCCUGUGGUUUUAUAAGAACUUUGGCAGUCCAUUUCGAUGUCACUGAGUGUGUGUUGUGCGUAGGUUGGCCUGGCAAAUGUCAUUUGGGGUCACACUUUCUAUGAUCAUUCUGUGGAGGUGUGUGUGUGUGUGUAUGUGUCUCUGUGUGUCCGCGUGUGUUUUUGUGUGCGUGCGUGUGUGUGUGUGUGUGUAUGUGUGUGUGUGUGUGUCUGUGUGUUUGGAGAAGGGGAGAGAGACAAAAAGAGAAAAGGGAAAAUAAAAAUAAUAAUAAUAAAAAUAAAAAAAUAAAAAAAUAUAGAAAUAUAAAAAUUAAAAAUUAAAAAAAAUAAAAAAAUAUAAAGAAUAAAUAAAAAAUAAAAAAUAAAAAAUAAAAAUAAAAAUAAGGGAGGAAGUGGAGAAGAAAAAAUAUUUUUGUGUGUUGAUAUUUAUACCAACACAUAUAUAUACACACACACAGACUUAUACAUAAAUAUUUGAAAAAACCUUUUUAUCGGUUCAAAAUGAACAACCAAAUUAUACCAUCUUGAAAAUUGUAUAUCAUAGGAAAGUUAAAAUUAAAGUAACAAUUAAAAGGUAAAGAUGGAAGUGAAUUAUAAAGAUAAUAAUAUAAUAUGAUGUAUAUAACAGGCAAUACACACAUCUACACACACACAGAUUUGUCCUUCAAUGUAUGUUGAGUAAAGUUUCAGCCAUUUAAUUUGGGGGAGAACUUAGCUAUGAAAUGUUUUUCCAUAUUUCUCCUGAAGGGGGUGUCAUUCUUCGGACACUUGUAGAAGGGAAAUAUCUUAAAUUUUCCUUCUCCACAUGUAGCUAGGUGUGUGCUUAGUGGUAUUUUGCGUAGUUCUUCCAGCCGAAUAUGUUGUCGGUGGAUCCUGGCUCGCUGGCACAAAGAAUUACCAGUUUCACCUACGUAAUUCUCCUUGCAUGUGGGGCAGGUUAUGCAGUAUAUGACGUUCUGCGUCUUGCAGUUCAUAUCUGCAUUUACUUUGAAUAUGACACCAUUUUUAAAUCUUAUCUCUCUGUUGCUCUCUAUGUAUUUGUAGGUGGGGUUGCUGCAGGUCCCACAUCUACCAUCUCCGCACUCUUUUGCAAAGAAUUCCGUUUUAGUUUCUGAAGAGAAUUUCGCUCUUGUUAGGUGUUUUUUAGGUUUUUGUCCUGUCGUCUACUGUUUUUUAUGCUAUAUUUGUUUAAUGUUUUUCAUUUUGGGGCUCUGUAAGGCUAUUGGUAGGUUUGAAUGUAUGGUUUGGAAGAUGUUGGUAACUCCAGGGUUGUGUGUGUUUAUAAAAGGGAUAGUGUUUUCUUUGUUUUUUGUUUUGGGUGUCCUGAGUUGUGUGAUGUCUAGUUUUAAUGCUCUUGUGAUUCCAUUUUCUAUUAGUUUAAGGGGGUAUUUUUGCUCUAGGAGGAAGCUUUUGAGUUCAUCUAGUCUUAUUAAUCGUAUUUGUGAAUCAGUUACUAUGCUACAUAUUCGUCGUGCCAUACUAUAUGGGAUGUUUCUUUUUGUGUGGGAUGGGUGGCAGGAGUGGAAAUUUAAGUAUUGAUGUGUGUCAGUUUUUUUGUAGUGGAUGUCUGUUGUGACGAUGGAGUUGUGUAUUUUGCUGUUGAUGUCUAGGAAGGGAAGUUCGUUGUGGCUGGUAUCUAUUGUGAAAUUGAUAGAUGGGUGCAGCGUAUUGAGGAUGUUGUGGAAUGUUUGUAGGUCCUCUUCUGAUCUGUUCCAAAAGAUGAAACAGUCAUCGAGGUAGCGUUUCCACUUUUUCUUGAUGUCUUCUCUGAAGUCGUGUUCGAAGACUUUCCCUAUUUCGUCAUAUAGCUUUUUCUCCAGGAAGCCCAUCACCAGGUUGGCAUAUGAAGGUGCGAAUUUUGUACCCAUAGCCGUGCCUUUUAUCUGUCGGUAUGUCUUGUUGUUGAAUGAGAAUGUGUUUUCUUCUAGUAUUAGUUGGGUGGCUUGGGUGAUAAAGUUUGUCUUGAAGCGUUCGUCUAUAAGUUCUCUGUAUUUUUCUAUUGAUUGUUUUAUAGCUUCUAGACCUAGGGUGUGUGGUAUGUUUGUGUAUAGAUUUGUGACAUCAAAGCUUGCAAGUAUGGUGUUUUUCGGGACUGUAUUUGGAAUGUGUGUGAGGAAGUCUAUGUCAUCCCUUAUGUAGCUUGGAAUCUGUGGGCAUAGAGGUUUGAGGAGUAUAUCUAUGAAGUGGCUUAGUUGUUGUGUUGGUGCCUGGGGUCCUACCACUAUUGGUCUCAUCGUGAGGUCUGCAGGUCUUUGUACUCUUAUGUAGUGGUUCCUCUGUUCCUUUAUGGCUCUCUGUAUUUCCGAGCUUUUAUGAAUUUUAGGUAAUCCAUAAAAGUUGCUUUCUUUGGUUUGUGAGUUGCAUAGAUAAUCUUCCUCCUUAUCUGUAAAGGAGUCCUGAUAUUCAUUGACUAAAGUUCUAAUUUUUCUUAUUGUUGUUUUCUCCGGUGGUGUUGGUUCCUCUUUGUAAUAUGUCUGGUUGUUCAGUAACUCUAGUAUCUUUUCUUUGUAGUAAUCUGUGUCCAUAAUUACUAUUGCUCCACCUUUGUCAGCUUCUUUUAUAACGAUUGAUUUGUCAUUUUUCAGUUUUUGUAGGGCUUGCUUUUCUUCUCUGCGGAGAUUCUGUUUGCAUUUGUGUGUGUGAAGAGGGAAUUUGGAUAUUGUUUCUAUGUAUGUGUCAAGGUGUUUGUCACUUCCCUUGUAAGGGGUGAAGUGGGAUUUUUUUCUUAUGAUUGAGUUAUCUCCUGUUUCUUUAUUUUCAAAGAAUUCCAUAAGGCGGAGGUAGCGGCUGAAGUUGUCUAUGUCAGUUUUUAGUUCUAUGAGGUUUGGAGUGGGUGUAGGUGUAAAUUUGAGGCCUUUUAGUAGUAGGUUCAUUUCAUAUUCGUCAAGUUCUCUUUUAGAUAAGUUUAUUAUUUUGGGGUCUAUGUGUUUUGGGAGUUCAUCCGGAAUUUUUGGUGUAUUGGGUCUGGAGUAUGGUUGAAGUAUCCUCUCCCUAAAAAAUGGGUUGUGUUGUUACGUCUCCAAAUUCCAUUUUCAGUUCUUAGGUUUUCUUGUAGUUGGGGUGGUCUGUGUGGUCUGUAUGUGUUGUUUUGUCUUUGGUAGUUGUUUUCUUCCCACCUUCUGUGUUGGUUGAGCCAAUAUUUAUUACUGGGGUUCAGGUUUCUUUGUGGGUAGGUGGAUGGUUCAUGUAUUGUGUUUGUAUUGUAUUGAUAGUUGGAGUUGUUUUUUAUCCAUCUUGGAAAUUUGUGGGGUUGCAUGGGGUUGGUGUUUGUGUGGUUUCGAUUUCCUUGAUGUUUGUUGUAGGUUAUGUGUUGAUUUCUAUCCAUUUGUAUAUUGUUCCAUGUGUGUGUCCCGUUAGGGUGUCCAGUGUUAUGUGUUGGUGGUUGUUCAUAUUCUAUUUGUUCUCUCCAAGUGUUAUAGGUUGUUGGUUGUAUGUAUUGUGCUCGUCUUGCUGUUGGUGUGUUUGUUUUUGUGGGGUUUUGGGUUGAUGGUUGUCUUUCAUAUUUUGUGCAUCUGUUAAUUGGGGGGUUCGGCAGUGUAAGGAGCGGGAUUUUGGUUUGUGUUUGGUAGGGCUUAUUUUGAUGCCUGGGAGUCCAAUAUGUUUGUGGUGUUGGUUUGUUGUAUCUAUUCAUUUGUUUUGGUAGUCUUUUUGUCUUCAUAAUUGAUUCUUCACCAUAGUUCUUUUCGUAGUUUAAAAACCACUCAUGUUGUUUGGUCCACAUAAAUCUGGAUCUUUCCUCCUCUCGUUCGGUAUCCUCUUUCCAUAAUUGUUGUAGUUUUUCUUUGUUUUGGUUAUUGUUCCUUUCUGUUAUCUCGGCCAUUAUGACGGUAUCGAUUGUUUUAAUCUUAUCUUCCUGGUGUGUGCUUCGUGUUUGUAGAAGGGAAAUUUCCGUUUCUAGUCGGCAGAGGGCUAGGUUUGCACGUAUUGUUGUUUCUUCUAGUGUUUCACCCCUUAUUUCUUUGAUAAGAAAUUUUCUAGGGAGUAUUGGGUUCUUCAAGUCCCGCCAGUUUUGAUAUAUGUUGGCUAUGUUCUUACAGCGUAUGUUUUUCCAAUAAGCAUAUUUGCGUUGGUUUAGAAGUUUGUUCCAGUCUUGGGGUUUUGAAGGUUUUUCUUGGUUUGUGUCAGUUUUUGUUUCUUCGUCAUUUGUUGUCCUUUGUGAUUGGGGUAGUCCCGCCAGAAGGUUUGUGUUGUCAGUUGUGUUUGUUUGAUUAUUUUUACAGAGAAUAUUUUGUGUUUGGAUUGUAUUUAUUGUUAAAGCAAUGUUUGCAAAGAGCGUAUCAAUUUUUGAGAGAAGUGAAUUUAACUUACUACAGGUUUCUGUGAGUACAGGUUUCUAUAUAUAUACUAUACUAUACUAUAGUAUAUAUACUAUACUACAGGUUUCUAUAUAUAUAUACAUAUAUACGACGGGCUUCUUUCAGUUUCCGUCUACCAAAUCCACUCACAGUGCUUUGGUCGGCCUGAGGCUAUAGUAGAAGACACUUGCCCAAGGUGCCACGCAGUGGGACUGAACCUGGAACCAUGUGGUUGGUAAACAAGCUACUUACCACACGGCCACUCCGCCUAUUAUAGACACUUUUUUUUAUUUUGCUGUCUUUCUUUUUUAUUUUGCUGUAUUUCUCUCUUCAGUGUUGGAAACUUGGUUUCAUGCCUGCAACGCACCCACCCAAUCCCAUCCUGCCAACUUUACCAGAAAUCUUGAUAUCGAUAAAGGAAAAGAUUGUGGUAGAAUGGGGAUGAUAAUCCUUUUCUACUAUAAGCACAAGGCCUGGAAUUUGUGGGACAGGAGAUAGUGGAUUACAUCGACCCCAGUACUUGAUUGGUUUUUAACUUAUUGACCCCGAAAAGUUGAAAGGCAAAGUCGACCACGGUGGAAUUUGAACUCAGAACGUUGCGGCAGAUAAAAUACCGCUAAGCGUUUCACCCGGCAUGCUAACGCAUUAGCUUUAUUAAUGGGGAUAAUAAUGAUGAGAAUUGUGGUGGUUGUUGUACUAAUAAUAAUGAUAGUGAUAGUGGCCGUAAGAGUUGGAAAAGUGAGAACAUCAGUGAAAACCAGCUAGUCAGCCGCCGCUAACGUUGUUGCUAGCAUAACAGGAUAGAAGCGGCGAGAAAAGAAUACGAAUGGGGGUGGAAAUGACUCAGAAAAUAUUGGGACAAUUAAAUAGGGUAAAUAAGAAUGAGGCUGUAAACAGAAGACUGAGUGAACAGUAGAUGUUAGAAGAAAGAGAAAAGCAAACUGUACAUGGAGUAUAGUCACAAUGGGUGACAGUAUUAAGGGCCAAAUGGAUGAGAUAUGAUGUUAGAUGCAAAGGUUUUGAACAUAACAGGGUUGUUUCAAUCAAACAUGAGGUAUCUUUUUGAGGAAAUAGAAAGGGAACAACAUUAGGAAGUGAUUCCGGUUGUGGAAGGAAGUAAAGCGUUUUGAGGAAAGCUUUGAAACAGGUCAGUAAGACCAGUGAGAAAGUGCAGAGUGGCUAACACAGGUGGAGAGACAACUUGCAACUGUGCCGAAAUAAAAGGACGUCAAGAUUUUAUUGUACUUGGUGAAAGUGAAGUUUAAAAAUUACCAGGGUGAAAAGGACUAGAUCCGGAUGGAGUGCUGAAGAAUUUUCGACAAUUACAUGAAAGAUUCGCAGCACACCUUGAUGAAUACCAGCAGCAGAGACACGUUUCUACCUAGAUGAUAACUGGACGAACAUUGUUAUAUCUUAGGGAUCCCUAAACUGGUGUGCUGGUAGGAAAGUUGGAUCAUCAGCUGGAAAGCAGCAAUUUAUUUCCAGUGCAACUGAAGGGAUGCAGAAAGUGAAACAGGGCAAUGAAGUUGUUCGUUGAUAAAAUGGUAGUAAGAAAUUGCAGACGCAGAUUGACGGGAUUGAAUGUAGCAUGGUUGGGUUAUAUUAAAAAAAAAAGCAUAUGACAUGACACUACACAUUUGGAUAAGUAAAACAAUGAACCAGUUUAGAGAGGGAGCAAAUAUGGAAAAUAUCGUCAAUGAAAAUAUGAAACAUUUGAAGACUGAAUUGACUAGGAGAGUGAGAAAAAUAUUACAGUCAAAGCUGAAUUCAAAACACAUAUAUUAUUGAAGCAAUAAAUGCGAGAGAAGUACCGAUAAUCAGAUAUGAAGUUGAAAUUGAAGAUUGAACCAAGGGCAACAUACAGAAACUUGACAGAAAAAAAACUAGAAAGCUAUUGACAAUGUAUGGAGUCCUCUGUCCGAAAGCAGAUAUUAACUGGUUGUCUUUGAAGAAAGACCAGUGUGGCAGAGGUAUUAUUAGUGUGAAAGAGUGUAGACAGAUGGAGAGAAAAAAUAAAACCUUCCAGAAUACUUAGAGAACAACACGGAAAACUUACAAAAGGCAAUGACUAUAGAACAGGUGAGCACAACCAGAAAAAGAGAAAAGGACAGAAAUGAAAUUAAAAGAGAACAUGAUAAACAGUUUUAUGAGAAGCCUUCGCACAUUCAGUUUUGGAAAGACACUGAGAAUGUAUGUGGAACAAAAUCCUCUGAAAAAAAGAAGCAGGAAUCCUUAUUAUAACAUCUCAAGAUCAAGCACUGCGGACAAACAGCUUAAGAAAAUAUGUAUAUGGGGAAGUGUCGGUAAAAUGCAGAGUAUGUGGAAUUUGGGAUGAAACAAUGGCACACAUUGUUGCAAAAUGUCCCAAGAAUGAUCAGGGAGAAUAUAAGAAAUGGAGACAUGAUCAAAUUCUGAAAGUUUUACACUAGAAGCUUUGUCAGAAAUGGUGGCUUGAAGCAAGACGUACUUGGUAGAAUCAUCGUGUAGAAAGAGGCUUUGAGACGCAAAAAUGCAAAUUUUCGAAGUCAAAUGGAUAAAAGCAUAAAACAUAACAAGCUAGACAUUACAAUAACAGAGAAGGAAAAUCGAAUUUGCUUGCUGAUUGAUCCAUCGUGUUCAUUUCAACCCAGGAUUGCGAAGAAAACAGAUGAAAGGCUAAAAAUACAACCCCUUAAAAUUUGAGAGUAAACGCAAUACAAAUAGUAAUUGGUUCACUUCGAAGUAUCAGCACUCAACUACGAACAAGGCUGAAAAGGAUCGGUGAAUGGGUGAAGGUAGAACACCUACAAAAAUCAGCAUUGCUUGGAGCUAAAAGAAUUCUUUGCAGGGUUCUUCAAGCAUGACCAGUAAACAAGUUUCACCUUAGUCUGCUGGCUGCGGACAGCUGAACACUUUCCAUCAUAUCCAGCAAAAUAAGCUGUGAAAUUUUCUAUAAUAAUAACAAUAAUAAUAAUAAUAAUAAUAAUAAUAAUAAUAAUACUUUCUACAUAGACAUAAGGCCUGAAAUUUAUGGGGAGGGGACUACUCAAUUAUAUCGAACCCAGUGUUUCUCUGGUACUUAAUUUAUCAAUCCCGAAGGGAUGAAAGGCAAAGUGGACCUCGGCGGAAUUUGAACUCAGAACGUAGCGGCAGACGAAAUACCGCUAAGCAUUUUGCUUGGCACGCUAAUGAUUCUGCCAGAAAAUUGAAGGUAGUUGAGAUCUUAUACAACUAGAAAGCUGUUAUAAAAUAUCCGUCAUGGGACUACAGAAAUAUCUAACUCAGAAUCAAAGAAAACCGAUCCAAAUAGCUUGUGCAAAACAAAAAAACGUUUUCUGUCUUCAAGGAAGCCGAAAAAUUCAAAUCAAAGGUCAUAAUAGACUCUCAGUUCAGGAAAUGCUCUUAUAAUUUUUAUGUUACGUGCAAAAUUAGGGUCAUUAUCAGUAAACAUUUGCACAUCUUUUUCUAUCGGUGCCAAAUAUUCUUUGCAGUCAGUUUAAGUAAAGUGGGUGGAAUUUCCACAUUCACAUCUGUAUUCUUAGAAUGCUCUUGAUCUAACAACAUCAGUUCCUCAUUAGAUAAAAUUUCUCUGUUAGACACUAGCAACACAAGCAUAUCACUCUAUAUGACCUUUUAACCCCUAUAUCAUUUGCAAGUGUCACAAUAUCUUUCUAAUUCGAUGUAAACAUUCUGCCAGUGGAUACAGUCUGGCCAAAUAUUAUUCCAAACACCUUUUAAAGUAGAGGAUUUCACUUCAUCCCAGACUCGACUAUGUUGUCCAUGGCAUCCGUCAUGUUGAAUUUUUUCCAGAAUUGCUUUCAUAAGUUGUUAGAAAGCUUUUCUCAUAUAACAUGACUUUAAGUUAACUAUCACACAUUGAUACAAUCGCUGGAGCAAAGCACUCGCAUUCAUGGUGAUGUUUUCUACUCUAACAUGGUCAGAAAGCUCAUGUAAGUCCACUCAGUGGACUUAAAUUGUUCAAUGAAGAAAAGUAUAGAUUUAUAUGUCGUGGAGUCAUCUAAUGUGACUCUACUCAGAAGGCUGUAAUAACAUUUGAUAGGAAACCCGGUAGAAAGAAUACAUAAACAAGGCUGUGACUUUAAGUACCUUUAAUGUGGCCACACGUACAUACCCAAUCUGAACGAAAAAUGAAAAUGGUUGAUGUACAUUUAUUCAUAUAUCUACAUGCAUCUGCGUGGGUUGCAUGUUAGCUGUUAACCCUAAUGAGGAAAGCUCACGAACAGCGAUAUGUUAGAACCAGUGCAGUGUGUUGGUGCUCUGCAGAUGUUGUUGACGACGUUGGUGAGAGACGAAGAUGGAGGUCGCUUAGAAGGUCUGGACCCAACAGACCCCGAAACUAGGAGGAGGUAAGUUUUUAUAGCUAACGGUAGGCUCAAAUGUAGUUUAGAACAAACUGUCUCACAUGAUUUAUUUGGAGGCUGCGAUUGGUUGGGUUCCAUAUUGGUGCGCGAUAGACUAAGACACAAAUUGCACCAAUACCAAUUAUCAUAAUUAUCAUUAAUUAAAGCGGAAAGCUUGCAGAAACUUUAGCACACCGGGCGAAAUGCUUACCGGUAUUUCGUCUGCAGCUACGUUCUGAGUUCAAAUUCCGCCGAGGUCGACUUUGCCUUUCAGCCUUUUCGGGGUCGAUAAAUUAAGUACCAGUUACGCACUGGGGUCGAUGUAAUCGACUUAAUCCGCUUAUUUGUUCUAGUUUGUCCUCUCUGUGUUUAGCCCCUUGUGGGUAAUAAAGAAAUAGGUAUUUCGUCUGCAGCUACGUUCUGAGUUCAAAUUCCGCCGCGAUCAAUUUUGCCUUUCAUCCUUUCAGGGUCGAUUAAACAAAUACCAGUUACGCACUGGGGGUCAAUAUAAUCGACUUAAUCUGUUUGUCUGUCCUUGUUUGUCCCCUCUGUGUUUAGCCCGUUGUGGGUAGUAAAGAAAUAGGUAUUUCGUCUGUCAAAUUCCGUCGAGGUCGACUUUGCCUUUCAUCCUUUCAGGGUCGAUAAAUUAAGUACCAGUUGCGUACUGGGGUCGAUCCAAUCGACUGACCCCUCCCCCCAAAAUGUCAGGCCUUGUGCUUACAGCAGAAAAGAAUAUGUAUAUUUGCCUGUUAUACAAUAUGUGUGCCUAGUUUUCUCUUCGUGUCUCUGUCGUUCUCUCUCUCUCUCUCACUUACUCACUCUCAUUUUGCUUGUCUAUCUUUCUCUCUGUUUAUCUCUCUCUCUCUCUCUCUCUCUCACUCACUCUGUCUUUCAGUCUGUUUCUCGCUCUCUCUCUCACUCACUCUGUCUAUCAGUCUGUUUCUCUCUCUCUCUCUCUCUCUCUCUCAUUCACUUUGACUAUGUUUCUCUCUACAACUCUCUCUCUCUCUCUCUCCUUCACUCUCACUCAUUAAUUUUGUUUGUCUGUCUUACUCUCUGUUUCUCUCUCUCUCUCUCUCUCACCCUGUCUUUCAGUCUGUUUCUCAUUCUCUCUCUCUCAUUCACUUUGACUAUCUUUCUGUCUAUUACACUCUCACUCUCCUUAUUUUUGUUUGUCUAUCUUUCUGGCUGUCUGUCUGUCUGUCUGUCUGUCUCUCUCUCUCUCACACACACACACACACACACACUCUCUCUCCCUCUAAUGCCCCUUCUCUCCUUUUUUGUGAAAUAUAUUUGUUUGUUUUUCUUCUUCUUGUCUAAACAAAUUACUUAACUUCUUUUAAUCUUUGUAUUUUCCAGAGAUUUAACUGAAAAAAAUGCCUUCUGCACUUCAAAACCUAAUUUGUUGUCGCCGAAAUGAUAGAGAAAUGGUUUCAUAUAAUGACAAGAACAUCCCGGAGAAGGACUUUUAUCCCGCGGAGGUAACAAAGAAGGAAAAGGUAAAAAAAUGCAAAGAGAAAAGUAAAAAAGAAUAUAAAAAGAAAAAGAAAAAGAGAGAAAAAAAGGAUGACAAUGAUGACGACGAUGAUGAUGAAGAAGGAAGUUGCGAAGAAAAUGAUGAGGAUGAUGGCAGUGUCAGUAGUGAUAAAGAUGGUGGUAGUUGUGGUAGUGGUGGC